rnacentral:rRNA from 1 species
GCCUACGGGACGCAGCAGUGAGGAAUAUUGGUCAAUGGGCGCAAGCCUGAACCAGCCAAGUCGCGUGAGGGAAGACGGCCCUACGGGUUGUAAACCUCUUUUGCCGGGGAGCAAGCCUGAGCACGUGUGCCCAGGCGGAGAGUACCCGGAGAAAAAGCAUCGGCUAACUCCGUGCCAGCAGCCGCGGUAAUACGUAGGGAGCAAGCGUUGUUCGGAAUGACUGGGCGUAAAGGGUGCGUAGGCGGUUGUACAAGUUAGAAGUGAAAUACCCAGGGCUUAACUCGGG